rfam:Schistosoma mattheei strain Denwood, Zambia genome assembly, scaffold: SMTD_scaffold0010852
GCACUGCUGAGGAGUCCCAUACUUAGACGAAACGGUCGUCCAGUGC